rnacentral:lncRNA from 1 species
UAUCCCGAACACGCGAGCCCAGGAUGGGGAAGUCCUGGGUUGCCAAACAGUCCGUUGAGAGUAUAUAAAGCAAGGCCAUCGUGGCGGCGGCAGUGUCAGCUUUGCACUCGUACCUGCAACAUCUCAACAAUGGUUUCCCGCAGUGUGUUGGUCCUGCUGGUGGUGGUCGUCCUCGCGGCCGCAGCAGUGGCUCUCCCAGACCCCAAGAAGCGCCACUUAGGAUACGGAGGAUACGGCUUAUACGGAGGAUACGGCCUCGGAGGAUUUGGCUUAGGAGGCUAUGGGGGCUACGGAGGCUUUGGCCAUGGAUCUCACUAUCCGUAUUACGGCUCCUACUACGGAUAGAAACGAUGCUGAAGGAACAGAACAUCAUUCUACUGCCAAAGGACUCUCUAGGAUUUGAGGAGAGUGAAACGUUAAAGGCUACAGAAUUUAUAUAUUUUAAUGACCCGUGUAAAGUCAUCCAAAUAAAGUCGGAUUGUUUUA